CAAAUUAUAAAUUUAGUUAAAUUAUUUUAUUUACAAUAAAAUGAAAGUUGUGCAAUUCGACUUGAUUUGA
rnacentral:tRNA from 1 species